UGACCUCUGGUAGGGGCUGUAGCUGAGGAGCCAUCAUAGCCCUUGCCUGCAGGAGCUGGAGAUCCUGUAAUCCAGAAUGGAGAUCUGUGGCCAAUGCAGCCCCAAGGAAUACCCAUGCUGAGGAGCCCAGAGACCCCAAUGCCCCAUGGACUGUAGCUUUGGGAAGCAUGGUAAGAAGUGACCCAGGAAGGGGCGAGUACAGAGUUUCAGGAUGGGGACAAUUGUGCUGCAAAGAUGUAUGAGCCCCACCUCACCCAGUGUGGGAAGGGAAAGAUCAAUGUGCAGAGGAUAGCUUCUGUGUGCAGAUCUCAGGGACACAAUACAGCCCUAUGAGACCAUCUGAGGAAUUUUUUUCAUCUGCACUGUAGGAGGAAAAGUACAUCCUAUCCAGACGACUAGCACAUUCAUCCUAGAAGACUAAGAACAUCAUUAGAGAAAGUACAGUACAUUGUGAAACAGCUUGUUCCCUAGGGAAGUCAAGAACAUUCCCAAGCCAUACAGUUAACAAUAAACACUAAAGUAAUAGUGCAUCUUUCUCCACAGAAUGGCAUCAUCUUCUGUUUUUUUGUUUUUUUUUUUAGAGCUGUGAAAAAUAAAGC